rnacentral:rRNA from 1 species
GUGAGGCAUGCUGGAGGUAUCAGAAGUGCGAAUGCUGACAUAAGUAACGAUAAUGCGGGUGAAAAACCCGCACGCCGGAAGACCAAGGGUUCCUGUCCAACGUUAAUCGGGGCAGGGUGAGUCGACCCCUAAGGCGAGGCCGAAAGGCGUAGUCGAUGGGAAACAGGUUAAUAUUCCUGUACUUGGUGUUACUGCGAAGGGGGGACGGAGAAGGCUAUGUUAGCCGGGCGACGGUUGUCCCGGUUUAAGCAU